rnacentral:rRNA from 1 species
AAACACAUGCAAAGUCGAUGAUGAGCUAUAGCUUGCUAUAGUAAGUCAUGGCGGACGGGUGAGUAACGCGUAAAGAACUUACCUCAUAGACUGGGAUAACAGAGGGAAACUUCUGAUAAGACUGGGGAUAAGUUGGUUAUUAGCAUUAAUAACGAAUGAAAGGGGGACACUAUGAGAGAGCUUUGCGUCCUAUUAGCUAGUUGGUGGGGUAAAGGCCCUACCCAAGGCGAUGAUAGGUAGCCGGCCUGAGAGGGUGGACGGCCACAAGGGGACUGAGAUACGGCCCUUACUCCUACGGGAGGCAGCAGUGGGGAAUAUUGGACAAUGGAGGCAACUCUGAUCCAGCAAUUCUGUGUGUGUGAAGAAGGUUUUAGGACUGUAAAACACUUUUAGUAGGGAAGAAAAAAUGACGGUACCUACAGAAGAAGCGACGGCUAAAUACGUGCCAGCAGCCGCGGUAAU